rnacentral:tRNA from 1 species
UCCCUUAUGGCUCAGAUAGUAAAGCGUCUGCCUGCAAUGCAGGAGACUUGGGUUCGAUCCCUGGGUCGGGAA